rnacentral:rRNA from 1 species
UACGGAGGGUGCGAGCGUUGUUCGGAUUUAUUGGGCGUAAAGCGCGUGCAGGCGGUCUGCUAAGUCUGAUGUGAAAGCCCCGGGCCUACCCCGGGAAGUGCAUUGGAAACUGGUAGACUUGAAUACGGGAGGGGGUAGUGGAAUUCCUGGUGUAGAGGUGAAAUUCGCAGAUAUCAGGAAGAACACCGGUGGCGAAGGCGGCUACCUGGACCGAUAUUGACGCUGAGACGCGAAAGCGUGGGGAGCAAACAGG